UACGUAGGGGGCUAGCGUUGUCCGGAAUCAUUGGGCGUAAAGAGCGUGUAGGCGGCCCGGUAAGUCCGCUGUGAAAGUCGGGGGCUCAACCCUCGAAUGCCGGUGGAUACUGUCGGGCUAGAGUGCGGAAGAGGCGAGUGGAAUUCCUGGUGUAGCGGUGAAAUGCGUAGAGAUCGGGAGGAACACCAGAGGCGAAGGCGGCGACCUGGACAGGUACUGACACUCAACUACGAAAGCGUGGGGAGCAAACAGG
rnacentral:rRNA from 1 species